rnacentral:rRNA from 1 species
CAGUGGCGAACGGGUGAGUAACACGUGAGCAACCUGCCCCUGACUCUGGGAUAAGCGCUGGAAACGGCGUCUAAUACUGGAUAUGUGACGUGACCGCAUGGUCUGCGUCUGGAAAGAAUUUCGGUUGGGGAUGGGCUCGCGGCCUAUCAGCUUGUUGGUGAGGUAAUGGCUCACCAAGGCGUCGACGGGUAGCCGGCCUGAGAGGGUGACCGGCCACACUGGGACUGAGACACGGCCCAGACUCCUACGGGAGGCAGCAGUGGGGAAUAUUGCACAAUGGGCGAAAGCCUGAUGCAGCAACGCCGCGUGAGGGAUGACGGCCUUCGGGUUGUAAACCUCUUUUAGCAGGGAAGAAGCGAAAGUGACGGUACCUGCAGAAAAAGCGCCGGCUAACUACGUGCCAGCAGCCGCGGUAAUACGUAGGGCGCAAGCGUUAUCCGGAAUUAUUGGGCGUAAAGAGCUCGUAGGCGGUUUGUCGCGUCUGCUGUGAAAUCCGGAGGCUCAACCUCCGGCCUGCAGUGGGUACGGGCAGACUAGAGUGCGGUAGGGGAGAUUGGAAUUCCUGGUGUAGCGGUGGAAUGCGCAGAUAUCAGGAGGAACACCGAUGGCGAAGGCAGAUCUCUGGGCCGUAACUGACGCUGAGGAGCGAAAGGGUGGGGAGCAAACAGGCUUAGAUACCCUGGUAGUCCACCCCGUAAACGUUGGGAACUAGUUGUGGGGUCCAUUCCACGGGAUUCCGUGACGCAGCUAACGCAUUAAGUUCCCCGCCUGGGGGAGUACGGCCGCAAGGCUAAAACUCAAAGGAAUUGACGGGGACCCGCACAAGCGGCGGAGCAUGCGGAUUAAUUCGGAUGCAACGCGAAGAAYCCUUACCAAGGCUGGACAUAUACGAGAACGGGSCCAGAAAUGGUCAACUYCUUUUGGACACCUCGUAAACAGUGGGUGGCAUGGUGGUCGUCAGCUCGG